CCUACGGGAGGCAGCAGUGAGGAAUAUUGGUCAAUGGACGCAAGUCUGAACCAGCCAUGCCGCGUGCAGGAUGACGGCUCUAUGAGUUGUACACUGCUUUUGUACGAGGGUAAACCCCGAUACGUGUAUCGGGUUGAAAGUAUCGUACGAAUAAGGAUCGGCUAACUCCGUGCCAGCAGCCGCGGUAAUACGGAGGAUCCGAGCGUUAUCCGGAUUUAUUGGGUUUAAAGGGUGCGUAGGCGGUUUGAUAAGUUAGAGGUGAAAUGUCGGGGCUCAACCCCGAAACUGCCUCUAAUACUGGUGGGCUAGAGAAUAGUUGCGGUAGGCGGAAUGUAUGGUGUAGCGGUGAAAUGCUUAGAGAUCAUACAGAACACCGAUUGCGAAGGCAGCUUACCAAACUAUAUCUGACGUUGAGGCACGAAAGCGUGGGUAGCAAACAGGAUUAGAUACCCGAGUAGUC
rnacentral:rRNA from 1 species